rnacentral:rRNA from 1 species
UGAGGAAUAUUGGUCAAUGGGCGAGAGCCUGAACCAGCCAAGUAGCGUGCAGGAUGACGGCCCUAUGGGUUGUAAACUGCUUUUAUAUGGGAAUAAAGUGAGGGACGUGUCCCUUAUUGCAUGUACCAUACGAAUAAGGACCGGCUAAUUCCGUGCCAGCAGCCGCGGUAAUACGGAAGGUCCAGGCGUUAUCCGGAUUUAUUGGGUUUAAAGGGAGCGUAGGCUGUUUGUUAAGCGUGUUGUGAAAUGUAAGAGCUCAACUUUUAGAUUGCAGCGCGAACUGGCAGACUUGAGUGCGCACAACGUAGGCGGAAUUCAUGGUGUAGCGGUGAAAUGCUUAGAUAUCAUGACGAACUCCGAUUGCGAAGGCAGCUUACGGGAGCACAACUGACGCUAAAGCUCGAAGGUGCGGGUAUCGAACAGG